rnacentral:lncRNA from 1 species
CUUUAAUUGUCAAAUUGCAGGAAAAGGGGAUGAGAGGCCUGGCCCCCAUGUCAAUCAGUGCAUAUCCCUCAUUUUAGAGAGGAGUUUUAUUUUUCUGUUCCAAGAAGGAAAUUACAGCUUUCAUUGCUCCCUGGUUCCCCUAAAAAGUUAUUGCCCUUGGCCUUUUGGGUCCUAUAAGAUAGAUAAAGAUAGGAGGUUUGUUGCAAACAACUGAACAGUUACUGAACAGUAACCGUAGAGUCAUGGAAUCUCAGAGUUGGAAAGGACCUUGGAGGUCAUCUUAGCUCUUCAUUCUGGGGCCAAACAGAACAAAAUUCUUGAACAUAAUAAGAUUUGAGAAUGGUGCUCACAUUUCCCCGGAGUCUUCACUUCUCAAGGUUGAAUAUCUUCAAUUCCUUUCUUCCAUCUUCAUUCAGGUGUGUCUUCAACCUGAGCCCCAGUCUUGGCCAACUGGAUUUACUCAUUGACCAGAGAAGAGAUGGUGUCCCUAUGGGAAUUCUUGGAAAAGAAAGAGGAAGAAUGUUUUUGGUCUUUCAUAUCCCCUGCCAGAAAGCAUUUGUUCAAAAAAAUUUUUCUUAGAAUCAUGAAUUCAGAGUUUCAAGACCUCCCGGGAAGGGCAAAAAUAUUUGUCUUGAUGAUGUCAUCAAGUAUUCCUGAACAUGAGGACAGUGAUGAAUUAGGAUGCAUGCUGAAUGGGUCCAAGCUAUCCACCAACAUGAUACCAACAUCAGUUUCUCACCAAAUUGAAAAAAAAGUCAAUUUGUGAAUGGUGAUGGAGUUCCUGAGAUACGUAAAGAUCAGAAUGGAAUAUGCACUUAUCUACAUAAGGUAGUGAGCAUAUUGAAGGGGUGCACUUCACUUCUGGAAAAGACCAACAAUGCUUCUUUGGUUUUGUGCAAAACUAAUGCUAGAGGACCCAAGGCUUCCUAACAUGAAUGAUCUCUCUUACUGAUCAAAGUAUUCCCCUGCACGUAAGAGGUGAAAAGUGCAUUUGAUGACCUGAAGAAUUGGUCCAAAUCAACUUGAGCAGUACUCAGAAGCCUCAUGCUCAUAGGACAUCAAUAUUUGACUCAAGACUAGAGUCAGAAGACACUAAGCAAUAUCACACAAAAAUAAAAUCAAUUAUAACUUAACA